UUUAAUUCGAAGCAACGCGCAGAACCUUACCAGCUUUUGACAUCCCGCGCUACAACCAGAGAUGGUUGGUUCCCUUCGGGGACGCGGUGACAGGUGCUGCAUGGCUGUCGUCAGCUCGUGUCGUGAGAUGUUGGGUUAAGUCCCGCAACGAGCGCAACCCUCGUCCUUAGUUGCCAUCAUUAAGUUGGGCACUCUAAGGAAACCGCCGGUGAUAAGCCGGAGGAAGGUGGGGAUGACGUCAAGUCCUCAUGGCCCUUACAAGCUGGGCUACACACGUGCUACAAUGGCGGUGACAGUGGGCAGCCACCUUCGCGAGAGGGAGCUAAUCCCAAAAAGCCGUCUCAGUUCGGAUUGUUCUCUGCAACUCGAGAGCAUGAAGGCGGAAUCGCUAGUAAUCGCGGAUCAGCAUGCCG
rnacentral:rRNA from 1 species